UACCACAAAAUGCGCCACCACCACCGCCAAAGCCCCCGAUGAAGCCACCCCCGAGAAGGAAGAAGUGGGUGCCACAAACUCACGUGGAUGGCAGUGGUCGACGGUGCCCAACCAGUGCCACCACUGCUAUCGAAAACUGCACAGGCCAUCUAUUUUGGAGAACCAUCUGAAGGUGUGCCUGACACAGGCAAAGAGUGGUGCAUGUUUGUGGUGCCCAUAUAUUGGCAAGGCAAAUGUGGGAACGCACCACCUCAGUUGCCAAGGAGAGCCUGGGCAUCUGUACGUGCCAGUGGGGGAGCAGCGGCUGCAGCGCGACAGGUGGGCGGAAGCUAUAAGGCAAUCAACAUCCGCUUCACAGAGGGAUGAAGCGCCCACGCAGUCGUCGCCCCCUCCUUCAACGACAUCACCGUCAACAGGAUCUCCAUCACCGAAACGAGAACCGAUACAGGUUCAGUUAUCGGAACUUUUUAACAUUGAUGGAGAUUUAUUUGAUCAUUCUUCAAACAAUUUGGCCAAAGUAACUUGUACUAUUGUCCAAAACUGGUCGAUUUAAUUUUAACUAAAUAUGUUUUUGCUCCAUAUUGGACAAAUUUAAUGGGUAUUUUUAUUGAUACCUUCAAUAAAAGAGUGAGUAAUGGGCCCAUUGAA